GAAGUAAUUGAGAUGCACCUGGAUGGAAAGGCUAAUAGGUGGUUUCAAGGGGUCAAAAUUGAAAAACCCAAUUUGAGUUGGGAACAGUUCCGAGAAUUAUUGUGCAGCAGAUUCAAUGAUAGAAAUUGUAUGGAUGUUGUUUAGGGGUUUAAUAAACUGCAACAGGAAGGCAAUGUUGAAAAAUAUCAGGAAAGAUUUGAGGAAUUAUAACCAUUGAUGAUGAUUAGGAAUAAAAAUCUUGUUGAGAAUUAUUUCAUUUCCAGUUUCAUAAGCGGUUUGAAGGAGGAAACUAAACCAAUAGUGAGAAUGCUAAAACCAACAACCUGGUCUGAGUCCUUUGAAUUAUCACAAUGGCAAGAAUACUCACUCAAAGUCCGAAGUAAGGGCACUAGGAAAACUCAGAAGGUGGUUGCAGAACAUAAGUUUGGAAUGAUCAGAUCCACAGCAACAACUGCAAUGGGACGUAAUAUGUACAAGGUGCCUUUUGCUAGCACUUUCAAGAUUCCAAAUUCAAGAGUCAUCAGGAUGAUUCUCGAGACCCCAAGAAAAUUAGAGCCCAAGAAAUUCAAUAUAGAAAAAAUAAUGGACUGUGUUUCAAAUGUGGGAAAAAAUAUGGAUUGGGCCAUCAAUGUAAGUUGGGACACUUAAAUUUCCUGAUAUGUGAAGAAGAGGAGGAGUCUAUAUUUGAAAAUGCAUUAGGGGAACAGGAUGAACAGAUUGGAAAUGUUGGUCAGACUAUGAACAUGUCUCUUUUUGCCUUAUUUGAAGCACUUAAAAGGAAGACAAUUACAGUGACUGAAAAAUUGGAUAAUGAAGAAGUUCUGAAACUGCAACAGGAAGGCAAUGUUGAAAAAUAUCAGGAAAGAUUUGAGGAAUUAUAACCAUUGAUGAUGAUUAGGAAUAAAAAUCUUGUUGAGAAUUAUUUCAUUUCCAGUUUCAUAAGCGGUUUGAAGGAGGAAACUAAACCAAUAGUGAGAAUGCUAAAACCAACAACCUGGUCUGAGUCCUUUGAAUUAUCACAAUGGCAAGAAUACUCACUCAAAGUCCGAAGUAAGGGCACUAGGAAA
rnacentral:lncRNA from 1 species